ACCCGAAUUGGCCUCCCCUCAACCCCCAGCCUGUCCCCUCGGCCCCGCCCGGUCCGCCGGCCACGUCUUUCUCUCUCUACCUUUGUGAACUAAGAAACCUGUCCUCCCGGCAGACCCAAACUCCCCUCUCAUAAAUCUUCUCUCUGACAGGCCCGGCUAAAACGGAGGAGGCAGAGCCGCCGGCCAGAUCAGUUGCCGGGCCACAGUCUGAUAAGGGUUUCUCCCCUGUCGCAGGGAGAUUGCGCAAUAAGCUCGAGGUGAUGCCAGAUUUCAACCUCCCAGGCUUUCCCACCUAGACAGGGAACCGGUGGCCAGACCCAAUACUGGCCGUUUUCAGCAGCUGACAUUUACAAUUGGAAACAACACAACCCUUCUUUCUCCAAAGAUCCGGUGGCACUCACCGACCUAAUAGAAUCUGUUUUACUUACCCACCAGCCUACUUGGGAUGACUGCCAACAGCUCUUACAGUCCCUCUUAACCUCAAAAAAAAAAAAAAAAAAAAAAAAACAAAGAGUGUUCCUAGAGGCCAGAAAGCAUGUUCUGGGAGAUGAUGGGCGUCCCACCCAGCUGCCUGAGGACCAAACUGGGAUUUUAAUACAGCUGAAGGUAAGGGACACCUACGCCUUUAUCGCCAGUUGCUUCUAGCGGGUCUCCGAGGGGCUAUACGACGCCCUACUAAUUUGGCUCAGGUAAAACAGGUAUUACAGGAAGCAGGGGAAAACUCCCUCCACCUUUCUAGAGAGACUUAAGGAGGCCUACCGUAUGUACACUCCCUAUGACCCAGAUGAUCCAGGACAAAUGACGAGUGUCUCUAUGUCCUUCAUCUGGCAGGCUGCUCCAGAUAUCAGGACUAAGUUACAGAGUUUAGAAAAUUUGCAGGGCUAUACAUUACAGGAUUUACUUAAAGAAGCUAAAAAGAUUUUUAAUAAGAGAGAGAAUUGAGUCGAAUCUUGGCCGCCGUAGUUCAGGGCCAAAAAAGGAAGGGAGAUAGGGGGGGAGCUCGAAAGGGGCUGAAGCUGGAUAAAGAUCAAUGUGCCUAUUACAAAGAGAAAGGGCACUGGGCCAGAGAGUGCCCCAAGAAGCCUGGCGGACCCCGAAAGCCUCGACCACGAACCUCCCUCUUGGCUCUAGAUAAAGAUUAGAGAGGUCAGGGCCAGGAGCCCCCCCUGAGCCCAGGGUAACGCUUGAAGUUGGGGGGGGCAGCCGGUUACUUUCCUGGUAGACACAGGAGCCCAGCAUUCAGUCCUCACCCAAGCUUCAGGACAACUCAGCGACCGGACGGCCUGGGUACAAAGAGCUACUGGUGAGAAACAAUACCGAUGGACUACGGACCGCCGGGUUCAGCUGGCUACCGGUAAGGUGACCCAUUCCUUCUUACAUGUUCCGGACUGCCUGUACCCUCUGCUGGGCCGUGACCUGCUCACCAAACUAAAAGCACAAAUUCAUUUUGAGGAAGGAGGGGCCCGAAUAACUGGCCCCCACGGAACUCCCCUUCAAGUUCUAACCCUAUGAACCGGGACAGGACACUGGCUUGGGCAGAGACUGGUGAGAUGGGGUUGGCGCUCCAACAGCCCCCCUUAAUUACAACUCCAGUCUCCAUAAAACAAUACCCCCUGUCACAUGAAGCUUAUCAAGGUAUAAGGCCUCACAUUACGAGGCUUCUGGAUCAAGGCAUCCUAGUCCCCUGCCGGUCGCCUUGGAAUACGCCUCUUCUGCCUGUUAAGAAACCCGGCACUAGAGAUUAUAGGCCAGUACAAGACUUGAGAGAGGUCAACAAGAGGGUAAAAGAUAUUCAUCCGACUGUUCCAAACCCUUACAAUUUGCUCAGUAACUGUUCAUCGAUGAGAAACAGGGGUAUGCUAAAGGGGUCCUAACACAAAGGUUGGGACCCUGGAAACGCCCUGUGGCCUACCUGUCUAAGAAAUUGGACCCUGUGGCCUCCGGCUGGCCACCGUGCCUAAGGAUGGUGGCUGCUAUUGCUGUCCUGAUCAAGGACACUGGAAAAUUGACUUUGGGACAGCCACUCACCAUCCUAACACCCCACGCAGUGGAGGCCUUGGUAAAGCAGCCCCCAGACCGCUGGCUCUCUAAUUCCCACAUGACCCACUACCAAGCCUUGUUACUGGAUGCAGAACAGGUUCAGUUUGGACCCGUAGUCGCCCUCAAUCCUGCCACCUUGCUUCCCCUACCAGAGGAGGCAGAACAGCAUGACUGCCUACAAAUCCUCACAGAAGUACAUAGAACCAGGCCGGACCUAUCGGACCAGCCUCUUCAGAAUGCUGACCACACAUGGUACACGGAUGACAACAGCUUCUUGGCAGAGGGAGAGCGAAAGGCUAGAGCUGCGGUCACUACGGAGGACAAAGUGAUUUGGGCGAAAGCCCUGCCUGCUGGUACCUCCGCACAACGGGCUGAACUCAUCGCCUUGACUCAGGCGCUCAAGAUGACAAAAGGACACCAGAAAGGACACAACCCAGAGGCACGAGGAAACCGGCUGGCCGAUGCCACGGCGCGAGAAGCGGCCAUGAACAAACAAAUCUUGCCCUUAAAUAGCCCAGACCAACCCACGCCCCCACCAGUGGGACAAACCAGUUGGGUUUAUGCCCAUGAGGACAUAGAGCUCCUAAAAAAAAAUGGGGGCCAUCUACCACCCUCAACUAAAACAGUGGGUCUACAAAGGACUUUUGAAUUGAUCUCCUUUUUACAUAAAUUAACCCAUUUGGGGUUUAAGAAGAUAAAAACCUUACUAGAUCGGGAAGAGAUAAAUCUGUGGUUUUUUUUGAAUUGGGACAAAGCGAUACAAAAGGUGACUGAGAGUUACAAAGCAUGCGCUCAGGUUAACCCGGAAAGGACCAUGAUUGGACAAAGAGUUCGUCCUAGGGGACACCGUCCCGACAUCCAUUAAGAAAUUGAUUUUACUGAAAUUAAACCAGAUAUAUAUGGAUACAAGUAUCUCCUAGUGUUUGUAGACACCUUCUCAGGAUGGGUCGAAGCCUUCCCCACAAAACACGAGACUACAAAAAUGGUCACCAAGAAGCUCCUCGAAGAAAUCUUUCCCAGCCCUUCUCUGAGGGCCCAUUUACAGGCCCUACAGAUUGUGCAGAGAGACGUCUGGAGACCUUUGGCCGCUGCUUACCAGGACAAGCUUGAGCAUCCGGUGGUGCCACACCCGUUCCAGAUUGGAGACACCGUGUGGGUGCACAGACACCAGACCAAGAAUCUCCAGCCACGGUGGAAAGGACCCUACACCGUCCUCCUGAGAUCCACGCACCACACGUCAAGGCAGUCCGGUCUGAGGAAUUGACUAAUCACAACACUACACCCCAGACAUGGCACUCCAAACCCCUUAAAGUUAAAACUCCUACGUGGCUCCUCCUAGACCUUUUGUGGCCUAGAGUCAGUGGGGAAAUAAGCCCCCACCAGACAGAAAUUUCUUGACCAAGUCGAGUGAAAGAUUUCACUCAAAGUUAAAAAAAAAAAUGGGGGAAUGAAAGACCCCAGCUUAGCAGCAGUAACGCCAUUUUACAAGGCUGUACUUAAGAUGACUGGUUCAGAGAAAGGUUAGAACACUGAGUACACAGUGGCUGCCAAGCAGGAUGUGUUUGGUUGAAGGCCUGGCAACAGGACGACUUCGGUUGAGCACCUGACAAUGAAAAAAAAGCCCCGGGAGAGGUCCCACACCCUGGUGGGGGGCCGAGUCAGUCGUUAUGUUCCAAGAAGGUAGCUAAGAAACUUGCCCCCGGGCUGAACCCUUGGGGGGCCGAGUCAGCCGUUAUGUUUCAGGAAGGUAGCUAGGAAACUUGCCCCCGGGCUAAACCCUUGCCAUAUUAGAAUCCACCAAUUAUAUCCCUGUAACCAUGCAUCUGCUUCUGUAUGCUUGCUUCUGCUCCCCAAAAUCCUAUAAAAGCCCAUCCUUGGUUCCGUGGGGCGCGCCAGUCCCCCGAGUGACUGAAGCGCCCGCAGGUGCCUGUGCCUGUGUAUCCCGACAAUAAACCAAAUCCUCUUGCUGAUUGCAUCCUGUGGUGUCUCGGUCUGGUCUUUGGAGUUAGAGGAUCUCCAUCCCGAGGGAAAGUUCUCCCUGAGAGCUUUUCAAUGCCACUGA